rnacentral:rRNA from 1 species
UACAGAGGUCUCAAGCGUUGUUCGGAUUCAUUGGGCGUAAAGGGUGUGUAGGUGGCGCCGUUAGUCGGGUGUGAAAUUUCGGAGCUUAACUCCGAAACUGCAUUCGAUACUGCGGUGCUUGAGGACUGGAGAGGAGACUGGAAUUCAUGGUGUAGCAGUGAAAUGCGUAGAGAUCAUGAGGAAGACCAGUGGCGAAGGCGGGUCUCUGGACAGUUCCUGACACUGAGACACGAAGGCCAGGGAGCGAACGGG